AAGCCUUAGAGCUGGAAUAAGUGACCAGCACCCAGAUAACAUAGGUCAUGCUCUCAGCUCCCCUGAUGUGCUGAUGGCCGGUGCCUCUGGUCACCCAGAACCACGGGCUUGCUCCCUAGCCCACCCAGAAUGCUGACCCCAAGGACUCAUGCCAGAAUCCCUUCAUCCCAGGUCUUUUCGAACACAUGGCAACUUCUGGCCACCUCCCUAAAAUUGGUCCUCUUCCCCCAGGGCUGGGGCCAGGGUUAGGGCUGGGACUUGACAUUGUAUUUGUAUGUGUCCAGGUAACAUGAGUGGGGGCAGUAGACCCCAGGAGGAGCCUAUGUACUUGGGGUAUGUUUGUUUUUAAUCUUCUCGCAUCUGUCCACUUGACUGGGCCAGAAGAGCCUGAGGAUCCAUUGGGUCAUCACAGCCUUCCCCAGGGGUGGUUGCUUUAAGGGAGGGAUUUUCUUGAAUAGCUUCUCUUCCUUCUCCUUCAGCUCCUGGUCCACAAGUCACUUGCUCAGGGAAUGUCCUAGACCAGGCCCUGGCCCCUAUCACAGUUAAAAUAAAUGCAGUUUCUCCCCAUGUUUCUUUGAUAACCAUCUCGCCUCGUGCCCCAACCCCAUGUGCUUCUUGUGAACAGGAACAAGAUGACGCUGUUCACCACCAUCCCCAGGGCCUUGUACAGCACCUGACAUAUGCGUGUUAAACAAAGGAAUGAGCUAAUGGGCUUGCCUGGGCCCACAGUGUCCCAGGAAGGCUGAGAGGCGGCAGGAGGAUAUCCUCAGCAGUGAUUGCAGCAGAGGCAGAUCUAACCUUUGUCACCAGGAGAGAGGAACAGGCCCUACCAGCCUCAGUUUCCAGGACCAGUUCAUAAGAGAAAUCAAACUGGAGAACUGCCAAGGGGCCGGAAGGGUAGGGUUCCUCCACGCCCAGAUCAGUGAUUGAGCCGCUAGCCCCGGGCCUCUCUCCCCGCACUCAGAAAUGUGAUGCUCUGUCGCCACCUGGUGGACAUAAUAGACGAUGCUGGGACGGCCCAGCCUCCCGCGUCUGUAGGAUCCAGAAAGCGGCUUUCUUCAGGCGGAGGCUAAUAAGGAGGCAAUAGGUUUGGCACAAAAGCCCUUGCUAGAAGCCAAGUGGAUGCCGCCACCAUUUGAACUUCCCAGUCUGCAGAACUGUGAGCUCUACCUCUUUAUAAAUUACCUAUUUCAAGUAUUCUGUUACAACAAUGCCAAAUGAACUAAGGCAAGUAUUUAUCCAAAGGAAAUAAAAAUAUAUGUCUGCACAAAGAUUAGUACAUGAAAAUGUCGGAGCAGCUUUCUUCAUAAUAGCCAAAAAGUGGAAAUAGCCCAAGUGUCCAUCAACAAGUAAACAGAUAAA